AUCCUCGCAUCUCUCUCUCUUCCUCUACGGGUUCUCGAUUUUUCUGAGCUUUUCUCAGAUCAACGCCGCACCACACCGCUUCUCUAUUCCAUACACAGGCCUUUUAAAGGCUAAAAAACCAAUUAGAUUAGCAUAAGGAGUCUUUAGAUCAUCCGAAAAAGCCCCUAGAAUCGUUAGAUCAAAAUCAAAAUCAACCUACGCCGUC
rnacentral:lncRNA from 1 species